rnacentral:rRNA from 1 species
ACGCUCGACACCUACGGGAGGCAGCAGUCGGGAAUAUUGCGCAAUGGAGGAAACUCUGACGCAGUGACGCCGCGUGCAGGAAGAAGGUUUUCGGAUUGUAAACUGCUUUAGACAGGGAAGAAAAAGGACAGUACCUGUAGAAUAAGCUCCGGCUAACUACGUGUCAGCAGCCGCGGUAAUCUGAGCGGGCUGGCAAGGC